CCUACGGGAGGCAGCAGUGGGGAAUAUUGGGCAAUGGGCGCAAGCCUGACCCAGCAACGCCGCGUGAAGGAAGAAGGCUUUCGGGUUGUAAACUUCUUUUCUCAGGGACGAAGAAAGUGACGGUACCUGAGUAAUAAGCCACGGCUACCUACGUGCCAGCGGCCGCGGUAUUACGUAGGUGGCAAGCGUUAUCCGGAUUUAUUGGGUGUAAAGGGCGUGUAGGCGGGAGGGCAAGUCAGAUGUGAAAACUCAGGGCUCAACCCUGAGGCUGCAUUUGAAAAUGUGGUUCUUGAGUGCUAGAGAGGCAAUCGGAAUUCCGUGUGUAGCGGUGAAAUGCGUAUAUAUACGGAGGAACACCAGUGGGGAAGGCGGAUUGCUGGACAGUAACUGACGCUGAGGCGCGAAAGCGUGGGGAGCAAACAGGAUUAGAUACCCUGGUAGUC
rnacentral:rRNA from 1 species